rnacentral:rRNA from 1 species
GCGAGUCUGAAUAGGGCGUUUAGUAUUUGGUCGUAGACCCGAAACCAGGUGAUCUACCCUUGGUCAGGUUGAAGUUCAGGUAACACUGAAUGGAGGACCGAACCGACUUACGUUGAAAAGUGAGCGGAUGAACUGAGGGUAGCGGAGAAAUUCCAAUCGAACCUGGAGAUAGCUGGUUCUCUCCGAAAUAGCUUUAGGGCUAGCCUCAAGUGAUGAUUAUUGGAGGUAGAGCACUGUUUGGACGAGGGGCCCCUCUCGGGUUACCGAAUUC